CCGGAGCUAGUAUUAACCUACUGUUUGUCAAUGAGGUUUCCUCCUCGUCAGAGUUAGUAACGAAGAGUUAGUAACGAAUUGCUGUGUGUAGUCUUUGCCCAUCCCCUGAGAUGGGCCUUUUUUUUU
rnacentral:other from 1 species